AUGGAGUCACAGACCCAGGUCUUCAUAUUCCUAUUGCUCUGGUUGUCUGGUGCUGAUGGAGAUAUUGUGAUGACCCAGUCUCCCAAAUCCUUGCCUGCAUCAGUAGGAGAAACUGUCACCCUGACCUGCAAGGCCAGUCAGAAUGUGGAUAGUUAUGUAUCCUGGUACCAACAGAAACCAGGGCAGUCGCCUAAACCUCUGAUCUACAGAGCAUCCAACAGGCACACUGGGGUCCCUGAUCGAUUCACAGGCAGUGGAUCUGGGACAGAUUACACUUUCACCAUCAGGAGUUUUUAG